rnacentral:rRNA from 1 species
GACGAACGCUGGCGGCGUGCUUAACACAUGCAAGUCGAACGGAAAGGCCCUGCUGUUGUGGGGUGCUCGAGUGGCGAACGGGUGAGUAACACGUGAGUAACCUGCCCUUGACUUUGGGAUAACUUCAGGAAACUGGGGCUAAUACCGGAUAGGAGCUCCUGCUGCAUGGUGUUGGUUGGAAAGUUUCGGCGGUUGGGGAUGGACUCGCGGCUUAUCAGCUUGUUGGUGGGGUAGUGGCUUACCAAGGCUUUGACGGGUAGCCGGCCUGAGAGGGUGACCGGCCACAUUGGGACUGAGAUACGGCCCGGACUCCUACGGGAGGCAGCAGUGGGGAAUAUUGCACAAUGGGCGGAAGCCUGAUGCAGCAACGCCGCGUGCGGGAUGACGGCCUUCGGGUUGUAAACCGCUUUCGCCUGUGACGAAGCGUGAGUGACGGUAAUGGGUAAAGAAGCACCGGCUAACUACGUG